UACGGAGGGUGCGAGCGUUAUCCGGAAUUAGACUGGGUUAAAGGGUGCGUAGGCGGCUUGUUAAGUCAGGAGUGAAAGUUUGCGGCUCAACCGUAAAAUUGCUUUUGAUACUGGCAGGCUAGAAUUAGAUGAGGUUAGCGGAAUGUGGCAUGUAGCGGUGAAAUGCAUAGAUAUGCCAUAGAACACCAAUUGCGAAGGCAGCUGGCUAGACCUAUAUUGACGCUGAGGCACGAAAGCGUGGGGAGCGAACAGG
rnacentral:rRNA from 1 species